rnacentral:rRNA from 1 species
GACGGACGCUGGCGGCGUGCUUAACACAUGCAAGUCGAACGGAAAGGCCCUGCUUUUGUUGGGUGCUCGAUUGGCGAACGGGUGAGUAACACGUGAGUAACCUGCCCUUGACUUUGUGAUAACUUCAGGAAACUGGGGCUAAUACCGCAUAGGAGCUCCUGCUGCGUGGGGGGGGUUGGAAAGUUUCGGCGGUUGGGGAUGGACUCGCGGCUUAUCAGCUUGUUGGUGGGGUAGGGGCUUACCAAGGCUUUGACGGGUAGCCGGCCUGAGAGGGUGACCGGCCACAUUGGGACUGAGAUAGGGACCAGACGCCUACGGGAGGCAGCAGUGGGGAAUAUUGCACAAUGGGGGGAAGCCUGAUGCAGAAACGCCGCGUGCGGGAUGACGGCCUUCGGGUUGUAAACCGCUUUCGACUGUGACGAAGCGUGAGUGACGGUAAUGGGUAAAGAAGCACCGGCUAACUACGUG